rnacentral:lncRNA from 1 species
UCUCUCUUUCUUUUUGGUUUUUGAGACAGGGUUUUUCUGUGUGCCCUGGUUGUCCUGGAACUCGAUUUGCAGACCAGGCUGGCCUCAGACUCACAGAGAUCCAUCUGCCUCUGCUUCCUGAGUGCUGGGACUAAAGGUGUGUGCCACCACAUCUAGCUUUAUAGUGUUUUCUAUAUUUGUCCAUUAGCCUUUAUCUCAACAGGUUCAUGUCAAGAGUAAAAGUGACAAAAUCCACAGUUUCCUGCUAUAUUCGUUUAUCCCAAGCAGACAGGGAACUACAGAAGAGUCUGUUACUAAACUUCACUAUGGAAAGCCACUGAGGGUUUAUCCUGAAUGUCAGUGUGUAAGGAGAUACAGCCUUCUGUGUUUACAAAGCACAGCAGGGCGACUCACUUUCCAAUCCCUGCCAGUUGCAGAGAGCUGUUUCUUCACUUCUCAACGCACCCUACUUGCUCACACUCAAAAACAAACCCCACAAAACCUCGGUAUAGUUUUUACUUGAAGGGUUUUCCUUUUGCACCCAAAACUUCCUGGGUUGGUUUUUCCCCUUGGGGCCACAGAAACCCAUGACCCCGUUUAUGCUUCCAGUCUAUCCGUUCACCACUGUUCACACAGUGGUACGUGGUUCUUGUGGUGUUGUUUUUGAUUCAUUCUUUUUUUGGAGUCAGCCUAGAUUGGUCUUGAACACAUGACAAUCUCUUGCUUCAGUCACCAAGUGCUGGGGUUAUAACCAUGAUUUAAUCAUGCCUUGUAUGAAUUCUAGAAUUUACGUUCACCUUAGUUUCUAACCAUAGCCAAGCAAUUAGAUAUUGGAAGAUGUGAAACAGGUCUUGAGACAAUGCAACAGGUUGUUCAGAGAACCAGUUUAGGGAAGCCUAAACCUCCAGAGGCAGGAGCUGGGUAAAUGAUGGUUACAUCCCACAAAGGGAGGCACUUAGGAAUAUUCCAUAUUGUACAGCAGAGAUUAAGGUCAACAGAAUGUAAAACUGGAAUAUAUUUCAUCUGCAUUUUAUGGUGACAAAUAGUCCAUCAAAACACACAGCUUCUAGCUGAAGGUGCUGGCCACACCCUGAGUUCUAACAGUUCCAGCACUCAGGAGGCAGAGACAGGUAGACAGCCUGGUCUACACAUCAAGUUCUGGGUCAGCCAGAGCUACACUGUAUGACCCUGUCUCC